UGGCCCUCAGGCAAGCGGACUUUGGAGGC
rnacentral:piRNA from 1 species